GACGAACGCUGGCGGCGUGCUAAACACAUGCAAGUCGAACGCUGAAGCUCAGCUUGCUGGGUGGAUGAGUGGCGAACGGGUGAGUAACACGUGAGUAACCUGCCCUCUUCUUUGGGAUAACGCCCGGAAACGGGUGCUAAUACUGGAUAUUCACUGAUUCUCGCAUGGGGGUUGGUGGAAAGGUUUUUUCUGGUGGGGGAUGGGCUCGCGGCCUAUCAGCUUGUUGGUGGGGUGAUGGCCUACCAAGGCUUUGACGGGUAGCCGGCCUGAGAGGGUGACCGGUCACAUUGGGACUGAGAUACGGCCCAGACUCCUACGGGAGGCAGCAGUGGGGAAUAUUGCACAAUGGGCGAAAGCCUGAUGCAGCGACGCCGCGUGAGGGAUGGAGGCCCUCGGGUUGUAAACCUCUUUCGCUCAUGGUCAAGCCGCAGCUUUGGGUUGUGGUGAGGGUAGUGGGUAAAGAAGCGCCGGCUAACUACGUG
rnacentral:rRNA from 1 species